GAUGAACGCUGGCGGCGUGCCUAAUACAUGCAAGUCGAGCGAACGGACGAGAAGCUUGCUUCUCUGAUGUUAGCGGCGGACGGGUGAGUAACACGUGGAUAACCUACCUAUAAGACUGGGAUAACUUCGGGAAACCGUAGCUAAUACCGGAUAAUAUUUUGAACCGCAUGGUUCAAAAGUGAAAGACGGUCUUGCUGUCACUUAUAGAUGGAUCCGCGCUGCAUUAGCUAGUUGGUAAGGUAACGGCUUACCAAGGCAACGAUGCAUAGCCGACCUGAGAGGGUGAUCGGCCACACUGGAACUGAGACACGGUCCAGACUCCUACGGGAGGCAGCAGUAGGGAAUCUUCCGCAAUGGGCGAAAGCCUGACGGAGCAACGCCGCGUGAGUGAUGAUGGUCUUCGGAUCGUAAAACUCUGUUAUUAGGGAAGAACAUAUGUGUAAGUAACUGUGCACAUCUUGACGGUACCUAAUCAGAAAGCCACGGCUAACUACGUG
rnacentral:rRNA from 1 species